CUCUCUCACCCACCGCUCUAUCCGUCCGCUUGACCGUCACUUUUCUGUUCUAUAUUGUUUGGCUCCUCUCUCUGCUCUCAUCUCCUCUGACUCUGGUGACCGAUCAGCCCUGUGCAUGACCCCACGGUCCCUCCCACCGGUGUGCACGUCCCCUCGGAAGCGCACACCGCCGUCGGUCGGGUACUGGUUUUCCAGCGCCUAUCGGCGGUGGAUCUCCUCCUCUAGUGGCACAUGCAGGUGGAGGCUCGGAUCCUGAUCCCGUUGGGUCAAUCACGGAUCCGACGCCAUAGAUCACAACUCUUCCAGUCACUACGUACGCCUAGGUGAUGGGAACAUGUGGACGUCGAUUAGGGUUUGUGGUCGAGCGAUUAGCGUUGGCUAAAUCCGAUGUCCCCUUAAUCUAUUUAUAUGGGGUCGUGUGAUGAGGUUGUAAUUAACGGCUAGGAUAGCUCCCGAUUAAGGGCACAAAUAGAUAAUUAGAAUUAACUCUACCCCGGUUCCUAUAAACGUGUAGAAGACACAUCAUAACGAUAUACACGCACACACAUGUAAAUUACUUGAACUAUCGUGCAUGCAAAAUAUAUUUUCAUAUAAUAGUUUUUGUUUUAUUUCUUUCUUUUUCCAUAGGAAACUACUUACUUCGUUCUAAACUAGUCAAUUUAGAAGUUACCCUAAGUUAAAAUUGCUGAAGCUUAAAAUAUGUUAACAUCUAUAAGUUCAAACAAAACAUGUUUCACGGAGAAUUAGUUUGAGCUCACCUGAUGUUUAUGUGGUGUAUUUUCUGGCUAAUUUAAAAGAGGUUUGACUUUGAGCACAAUGAAAAUAAAAUAUAACUGAGAAUGGAGGGAGUAAAUUUUGCUUAGGAAAAACAAGACAGAGAAAGAGACGUAUCGAUCUAAAUUGUCAGGCACAUGUAAGAGAAGCAAGAACAACUACACAAAGGAUAUGUACAAUUACAGUGUCGAGCCCAUCAGCCCACUGAAACACGCCCAGACCAUUAACAGAACAAGAUUUGCUUAGGCAACCAGCUUUAAACACUUAAACCAGUCCAGUCCAGUCCAGCCCGACCAGCUCAGCCCGUCGUGCAUGUGAGACGAAAAUGAAGCCCAACCCAACCUCGGUGACGGCGACACGUGCCAAGCCGCGUCCCCGCCCCCCAUCUCCGGUGCUUGCCGAGGCGGCGCUGGAGACCGGCCAGAGCACGGGCUGCGGCGUCCCACCUUCGAACUGACCCUCUUCAAGUUUCCUACCACCAACGCGGCCUGCGCCCCCCAAUUGGCCUGGCCUGCUAGCUCCGACUCCAAUGCAGAAAGCAGGAAUGGGGAAGAGGAGAGGUGAUGCACAAACUGAGAAACUCCUGCAUUAUAGGAGUAGAUAUUAUGCUCCACCCCCAAGCUGCUGCCACUGCCAUUCUCUGGAAUCAAUCAUAUUCCUUGCCAGGUUGAACUCCAGGACAAAAGGUUCAGAUUAAUGGGAAGAUGCAGCUUGGAGCCAAUAAUAAGCCUGUGGGGCCGAUAUUGUUUUCUUUAAGUUCCUCUUUGCAACAACUCUCCACUCUUUAAAACAAGCAGCAUUGUUGGAUUGUCUUCA